rnacentral:hammerhead_ribozyme from 1 species
AUCCAGCUGAAGAGUCCCAAACGAGACGAAAGGCGUGUCUUGGAU